UACGGAGGGAGCUAGCGUUAUUCGGAAUUACUGGGCGUAAAGCGCACGUAGGCGGCUUUGUAAGUAAGAGGUGAAAGCCCAGAGCUCAACUCUGGAAUUGCCUUUUAGACUGCAUCGCUUGAAUCAUGGAGAGGUCAGUGGAAUUCCGAGUGUAGAGGUGAAAUUCGUAGAUAUUCGGAAGAACACCAGUGGCGAAGGCGACUUACUGGACACAUAUUGACGCUGAGGUGCGAAAGCGUGGGG
rnacentral:rRNA from 1 species